GCAGGCCAAAAGUAACCAGAUAUGAACCGCACCAUUUGGUAGCGAUGUUUUUGUCGACGGCGACGACGACGGUUAUAACUUGCGGUCGACCUAAAUACCAUCAGACACAUAUGUCUACUUUUAAAAACCACCGCAUUGAUCUUAUUAUUUUUUCUGUUCACCUGCGCAGUACCUACUGCAGUAUUAUGGCUGCAGCAGCACUUAUAGCCUGCACUAUAUUAAGCAUCCUCGAAUCUAUAGACGCGUUUCUUUAUACCUAUUAUGUACUAUAAAAUCGCGACCUUUCCGUCUUCUUUUCAUAACGUUUUGCAUUUCCCGACGA